AGGGGUAUAACUCAGUGGUAGAGUGUCACCUUGACGUGGUGAUGGUCAUCGGUUCGAAUCCGAUUAUCCCUA
rnacentral:tRNA from 5 species